AGCUUACAAUUGAUCUGACAGUUACACUGAGCUUCACUCCAGUGAACCACCCAAAAUGAAUGUUCCAUGGACAGACUAUUACUAUUCUUGCUGGAAGGAAGCCCAAGAAUGUGCUGGGGCAAAAGACUGUUUGUCUGCAGAAAAGAGCAGAAUUCACUCGUACAAGCAUUCAGCACAGAGCUGUCAGCCAACUGAAGGAUUCUGGGGAAAGGAAUUUCCAUG